rnacentral:rRNA from 1 species
AUGCGACCGACGGGGAACUGGAGCCUGGCCUUGGACGACCGCGACACCGACUUGGUUGCCUUCGCCUUGCCGCGGCCGACGACGCCUCCGGUGGAACUCAUCGCCGAUUCGCCUUUGGGGGAGGUCCGGACACGGUUGGUGACGACGAAGGAGAAGACGAUGAAGACGCGGCAGGAGCAGCGCCUCCAGCGCGAUGACCGGCCGCUCCAGGAACCGCUCGCAGUCGGUGGCGGCGGCCCGGUGGCUCAGCCAGAUGCCGCCGCCGAGGACGACGAGAGGGACGAGGGGGAUCUGGAUCGGGGGAGAGGAGGGAGGGAGAGAACAAAAGAAAGAUAG